GAGCAAAUAAUAUAAAUCCCCGGCUGCCAUCCUAACCACUUAACCAGCGACGGCAAUAGCUCGCUCUCUCCGCAAUAUUCGGAUCGACCGCUAGCUACCGGAGAGUCAAAGCGGACGGCAUGAUCCAUUGGCGAUUGAUGAGCAACCAUGCACGGUGCCGGCGGCAUCCAUCGGUGAUUUGUUGGGAUGCGGCGCUGUGCGGUGACGCUGUCCACACGGAGGCAGCGGUGGCCUGGCUGCACCUCGGCGCGACGCUACUACUCCUCACCACCGGUGUGGACGAAGAACGACGGUUGGCCGGAGGUGCAGGAUCAUCCGAUCAUGCAAUCGGGGUUUCUUCGCCAAGCCCGGUUGACACAUAAAUCCAUGCGCCGUGCAGGGAAAUGAGGCCGUAACCACUCUGUUCUACUCCUUAUUCAUCCUGCCAAGGUAUUAUCUUUCCAUUUUUCUCUUCCUGCAGAUCGAGGAUUCCCUUUCUUAUUAGAUCUGUACUUGAAUGUAAUCCCCAUUCACCCUCUUUCCAUGAGUAGGCCUGCUAGUAUUUUAAAAAAAAUUAUUUGAUAACCCAGCGUAUUAUUUAGUCUUCUGAAGAAUGAUGAAGCUCCUAAUUAACUAGUUCUUUGCUUUGCUCCAUACAGAUGCAUGACAAAUACACCAUGGAUGGUGGCCAACACCGGGCAGUAUAUUCGCAUGGUUGCAUGGAUUAGCUGAUGUAGAUGUAGAAAAUGUGGAUAUGGCAGUAUGAAAAUUCUGUCCAAAGCAGUUUGUGCAGGUCGAAAAUUGGGUAUACUGUACAUUCAUUUUUUCUUCUUUUUCAGAAUGGCUAAAUGUAUGAAUCCAUAUACUGCCUGGAUUAUUGCAAAUUCUCUUGGGAUCGGACUAUGCUUCAA